rnacentral:rRNA from 1 species
CGGGCUUUGUUUGCGCAGGAUAGGUGGGAGGCGUUGAAAGUUUUCUUGCGGGAAGAUUGGAGCCAUUGGUGAGAUACCACUCUAACAAUGCUAGGAUUCUAACCCUACACCGUUAUCCGGUUAGGGGACAGUUUCAGGUGGUCAGUUUGACUGGGGCGGUCGCCUCCCAAAAGGUAACGGAGGCGUGCAAAGGUUUCCUCAGGCUGGUCGGAAAUCAGUCGUAGAGUGUAAAGGCAUAAGGAAGCUUGAUUGUGAGACCUACAAGUCGAACAAAGACGAAAGUCGGCCUUAGUGAUCCGACGGUUCCGAGUGGAAGGGCCGUCGCUCAACGGAUAAAAGUUACUCUAGGGGUAACAGGCUGAA